rnacentral:rRNA from 1 species
CCUACGGGGUGCAGCAGUGGGGAAUAUUGGACAAUGGGCGAAAGCCUGAUCCAGCCAUGCCGCGUGUGUGAAGAAGGCCUUCGGGUUGUAAAGCACUUUCAGUGGGGAAGAAAGCCUUGGGGCUAAUACCCUCGAGGAAGGACAUCACCCACAGAAGAAGCACCGGCUAACUCCGUGCCAGCAGCCGCGGUAAUACGGAGGGUGCGAGCGUUAAUCGGAAUUACUGGGCGUAAAGCGCGCGUAGGCGGUCUGAUAAGCCGGUUGUGAAAGCCCCGGGCUCAACCUGGGAACGGCAUCCGGAACUGUCAGGCUAGAGUGCAGGAGAGGAAGGUAGAAUUCCCGGUGUAGCGGUGAAAGGCGUAGAGAUCGGGAGGAAUACCAGUGGCGAAGGCGGCCUUCUGGACUGACACUGACGCUGAGGUGCGAAAGCGUGGGUAGCAAACAGGAUUAGAUACCCGUGUAGUC